rnacentral:rRNA from 1 species
CGGUAAUUCCUUGCUCCAAUAGCGUAUACUGAUGUUGUUGCAGUUAAAAAGCUCGUAGUCGGAUUUCAGUUUGAGUCGGCUGUUGAUAUUUGAUACGGCUUCCUCUUACUUCUUUGACAGAAACAUUCAUGUUAUUAGUUUAGCGUGUUUUGGGACUGUCUCUUUUACUUUGAGAAAAUUAGAGUGUUCAAAGCAGGUUCUCGCCUGAAUAUUACUCUUGGAAUAAUGAUAUAGGACUCUGGUUCAUAUUUGUUGGUGAUCUGGACCAGAGUAAUGAUUGAUAGGGACGGAUGGAGUCAUUCGUACUGCAAAGCGAAAGGUGAAAUUCUUGGACCUUUGUAUGACGAACAACUGCGAAAGCAUUUGACUAGGACGUUCCCGUUGAUCAAGAACGAAAGUUGGGGGAUCGAAGACGAUCAGAUACCGUCGUAGUCUCAACCAUAAACUAUGCCAACUAGGGAUCGGAAGAAGUUAUAAUAUCGACUCUUUCGGCACCUUAUGAGAAAUCAAAGUAUUUGGGUUCCGGGGGGAGUAUGGUCGCAAGGCUGAAACUUAAAGGAAUUGACGGGAGGGCACCACCAGGAGUGGAGCCUGUGGCUUAAUUUGACUCAACACGGGAAAACUUACCAGGUCCGGACAUAGUAAGGAUUGACAGAUUGAAAGCUCUUUCUUGAUUCUAUGGGUGGUGGUGCAUGACCGUUCUUAGUUGGUGGAGUGAUUUGUCUGGUUAAUUCCGUUAACGAACGAGACCUCAGCCUGCUAAAUAGUUGGCGUUUCUUUUGAAGCGACUGACUUCUUAGAGGGACUACUUGCGAAACAACCAAGCGGAAGCUUGAGGCAAUAACAGGUCUGUGAUGCCCUUAGAUGUUCUGGGCCGCACACGGGCUACACUGGUGCAUUCAACAAGCAUAAUCACCUUAGCCGAAAGGCUUGGGUAAUCUUUGAACUUGCACCGUGCUUGGGAUAGACUAUUGCAAUUUUUAGUCUUCAACGAGGAAUUCCUAGUAAACGCAAGUCAUCAGCUUGCAUUGAUUACGUCCCUGCCCCUUGUACACACCGCCC